rnacentral:rRNA from 1 species
GACGAACGCUGGCGGCGUGCCUAAUACAUGCAAGUAGAACGCUGAAGAGAGGAGCUUGCUCUUCUUGGAUGAGUUGCGAACGGGUGAGUAACGCGUAGGUAACCUGCCUUGUAGCGGGGGAUAACUAUUGGAAACGAUAGCUAAUACCGCAUAACAAUGGAUGACCCAUGUCAUUUAUUUGAAAGGGGCAAAUGCUCCACUACAAGAUGGACCUGCGUUGUAUUAGCUAGUAGGUGAGGUAACGGCUCACCUAGGCGACGAUACAUAGCCGACCUGAGAGGGGGAUCGGCCAACCUGGGACGGGAACACGGCCCAGACUCCUACGGGGGGCAGCAGUAGGGAAUCUUCGGCAAUGGGGGCAACCCUGACCGGGCAACGCCGGGUGGGUGAAGAAGGUUUUCGGAUCGUAAAGCUUUGUUUUAAGUCAAAAACGGGGGGGGGGGGGGAAAGUUCACACUGGGACGGUAGCUUACCAAAAAGGGACGGCUAACUACGG